rnacentral:rRNA from 1 species
ACAGCAGUCGCCGCGGGAAUACGAAGGGUGCAAGCGUUAAUCGGAAUUACUGGGCGUAAAGCGUGCGUAGGCGGUGAGUUAAGUCUGCUGUGAAAUCCCCGGGCUCAACCUGGGAAUGGCAGUGGAUACUGGCUCGCUAGAGUGUGUCAGAGGAUGGUGGAAUUCCCGGUGUAGCGGUGAAAUGCGUGGAGAUCGGGAGGAACAUCAGUGGCGAAGGCGGCCAUCUGGGACAACACUGACGCUGAGGCACGAAAGCGUGGGGAGCAAACAGGAUUAGAUACCCCUGUAGUCCCUGUCUCUUAUAC